rnacentral:rRNA from 1 species
UACAGAGGGUGCGAACGUUGCUCGGAAUUACUGGGCGUAAAGCGCAUGUAGGCGGAUCCAUAAGUCGGGCGUGAAAUCCCCAGGCUCAACCUGGGAACUGCGCUCGAAACUGUAGGUCUUGAGUGUCGGAGAGGAUGGCGGAAUUCCUGGUGUAGAGGUGAAAUUCGUAGAUAUCGGGAGGAACACCAGUGGCGAAAGCGGCUACCUGGCCCAUUCUUGACGCUGAGGCGCGAAAGCUAGGGGAGCAAACGGG